rnacentral:rRNA from 1 species
ACGAACGCUGGCGGCGUGCUUAACACAUGCAAGUCGAACGGAAAGGCCCUGCUUUUGUGGGGUGCUCGAGUGGCGAACGGGUGAGUAACACGUGAGUAACCUGCCCUUGACUUUGGGAUAACUUCAGGAAACUGGGGCUAAUACCGGCUAGGAGCUCCUGCUGCAUGGUGGUGGUUGGAAAGUUUCGGCGGUUGGGGCUGGACUCGCGGCUUAUCAGCUUGUUGGUGGGGUAGUGGCUUACCAAGGCUUUGACGGGUAGCCGGCCUGGGAGGGUGAACGGCCACAUUGGGACUGAGAUACGGACCAGAAGCCUACGGUCGGCAGCGGGGGAGAAUAUUGCACAAUGGGCGGAAGCCUGAUGCAGCAACGCCGCGUGCGGGAUGACGGGCUUCGGGUUGUAAACCGCUUUCGCCUGUGACGAAGCGUGAGUGACGGUAAUGGGUAAAGAAGCACCGGCUAACUACGUG